AGUCGUGGGGCAGCAGGGGUAGCAAUACCCGCUGGCGACCGGCAAACGGGUGAGGAACAUGUACGCAACCUUCCUUUAACUGGAGAAUAGCCCCUCGAAAGAGGGAUUAAUACUCCGUAACAUUUCGGCAAAGCAUUUUGUUGAAAUUAUAGCUCCGGCGGUUAAAGAUGGGCGUGCACCUGAUUAGAUAGUUGGCGGGGUAACGGCCCACCAAGUCUGCGAUCAGUAACUGGUGUGAGAGCACGACCAGUCACACGGGCACUGAGACACGGGUCCGACUCCUACGGGAGGCAGCAGUAAGGAAUAUUGGUCAAUGGACGCAAGUCUGAACCAGCCAUGCCGCGUGGAGGAUUAAGGCCCUCUGGGUUGUAAACUCCUUUUAUCUGGGAAGAAAUGUUUCGAUUCUUCGAAACUUGACGGUACCAGAGGAAUAAGCACCGGCUAACUCCGUGCCAGCAGCCGCGGUAAUACGGAGGGUGCAAGCGUUAUCCGGAUUCACUGGGUUUAAAGGGUGCGUAGGCGGACAGGUAAGUCAGUGGUGAAAUCUCCGAGCUUAACUCGGAAACUGCCGUUGAUACUAUUUGUCUUGAAUAUUGUGGAGGUAAGCGGAAUAUGUCAUGUAGCGGUGAAAUGCUUAGAUAUGACAUAGAACACCAAUUGCGAAGGCAGCUUACUACACAACGAUUGACGCUGAGGCACGAAAGCGUGGGGAUCAAACAGGAUUAGAUACCCUGGUAGUCCACGCCCUANACGAUGAUUACUCGACAUANGCGAUACACUGUGUGUGUCUGAGCGAAAGCAUUAAGUAAUCCACCUGGGAAGUACGUUCGCAAGAAUGAAAC
rnacentral:rRNA from 1 species